ensembl:lncRNA
GAUACAGGCUACAGUUGGUCUGGGUACCAGUCUGCUUAGCUAACAUUCCACUCUGUAUUCCGUGUCCUAUGCCAAAGUUUAGCAGAAAGUUUAGCAAAACAGACUUCUAUGGACACGGGUAAGCCUCGGGCAAGGAGCGAACAACCACUGUAGACACAGAUCUCAGUUAUUUAACGUUAGUUAUUACAGACAGAUCUGGCAUUUCUCCAUCUGGAAAAUACUACUUACAACACAACUGCAAUUAUUUUAUUUUAUAUUUGUCCAAGAUAGCUAGCUGCAAAGCUAGCAAGCUAGUUAAUUUAAGAUAUCUCUAGAUCCAGUUCGCCAGCAGAGCAGCACUCGCCAAAAAGACAGGAGAGGAACGACAUGCAUGACCUUCUGGCUCUCCUCUCUACUGAGACCGAUCUGGCCACAGCAGCGCAGGCCCAGCUCUAACAGACCGAUCUGACCACAGCAGCGCAGGCCCAGCUCUAACAGACCGAUCUGACCACAGCAGCGCAGGCCCAGCUCUAACAGACCGAUCUGACCACAGCAGCGCAGGCCCAGCUCUAACAGACCGAUCUGACCACAGCAGCGCAGGCCCAGCUCCAACAGACCGAUCUGACCACAGCAGCGCAGGCCCAGCUCCAACAGACCGAUCUGACCACAGCAGCGCAGGCCCAGCUCCAACAGACCGAUCUGACCACAGCAGCGCAGGCCCAGCUCUAACAGUGGUCUUCCCAACAGGC